GACGCGGGAAUGCGAGACAGCCCUGGCGGAAGAGGAGGGAGGGGAAGAACAAGUAACGUGUAAUCAAACUACAAUUUUAUCCAUUUCAACCCCUGGAUCACUGUCGCAACAAGCCGACUGCACUCAGGGUAUCCGUGGUCUGCGGACCCUUUGAGAGAAGACAUGACGUUGAAGGCGAAAAAAGCAGAUCCUCGCCCCCUCCAGAACUGCUACUUUUCCCCCUCUCCAGAAUUGGCACCUUGGAGCGAUGUGUGUCCAGUCCACUCACAUCUAUCACUGUGUCUGUGUUUCCGCAGUGAUGUUAUUGAGGUUGUAAAUUAAAGGCGCCAAACACCGGGAGGAUCUGAGAGAACAAACUUACGAUCAGAGCUUUGUCGUAACUGGUGAGAUUCUCUCUCUCUCUCUCUCUCUCUCUCUCUCUCUCUCUCUCUCUCUCUCUCUCUCUCUCUCUCUCUCUCUCUCUCUCUCUCUCCCCCUCUCUCUCUCUCUCUCUCUCUCUCUCUCUCUCUCUCUCUCUCUCUCUCUCUCUCUCUCUCUCUCUCUCUACCAUCUACAUUUCAUUCCAGCUUUUUUGAAAGAUGUGCAUGUUUUUAUUGAAACCAGACCCCUGGGAAGACAUUUUGGGGGACAUCAUGAAGAAAGUGGCGCUUUCUUUGACCCAUUCAGGACUUCUGCUUUUCCAUGUUAUAAUGGCCCUCCAAAUCUCCUAUGGCAUGUAUAUUAGAGAGGACACGUAGAGGACACGUAAGAUUGAACGCUACUGCAGAAUGGCACAAAGCCGUUCUUUUUUUCAUGACUGUUUAGCUGUAUUUUCAGCAAUUAAAUGGUUGACUUGUUGACUACACAGGGAAAGCCUUUGAAGAGACUCUAGCAGCAGAGCUAGUCAGAGAGUAUGGCUCUGAAUGAGACGCAAAAGAUUGGUUUUCUCUUAAACUUGUUUACCUUUCAGUAUAGCAUAAGCUAUAUGUUUUUCCUCUUUGAAGUUUCAACAUAUAGUUACAAUUAUUUAUUUACACAGUAUAUAAGGUAAGAACUAAGGUCCUCAGGAGCAAGUUACGUCAAUGUCGAUGCUUCACUUUAGAAAUGCUAACUUUGCUGUGGCCCCUUUGAAUGCUCUAAAUAGCGGGGAAAUGCACCCUGGUUGCCAUGGCUAUAAGUGCGUUGAAGAGGACAUUCAAUGUGGGAGUUAUUUUUUUGAGUCUCCCGUUUUGUGACCGUUGUUUUAAACCAGCCAAAAGGCUGAUUUGUAUGGGUGUCAUUUUAUAAUCAUGAUUAAUAACUACAAUAUUUUAUGUUUUUGUUUUUUGUCUUUCUUUACUAGACCACAGUCUAUAAUCAUUUAGUUGAAUUAUCCUAUUUGUAUACUGUUACACUUACUAUAAUGUAAUGGCUUGUAUUUCAAAAAUGUUACGUUGUCGGGGAAAAAGUGUGCUGCUGCCGUGUACAACACUCCCUACACAUGCCAUUGAAUGACUUUGAAAAGUUUCUGACAUUACAUUUUACACACCUGUGAUCCAAAGGACAGCAAAUAAAAAAUAAGAUAGCAAAUCCAGAAAAC